UACAGAGGUGGCGAGCGUUGUUCGGAAUUAUUGGGCGUAAAGGGCGCGUAGGUGGUCUUGCAAGUCCUGUGUGAAAUCCCUCAGCUUAACUGGGGAACUGCACGGGAAACUGCCUGACUUGAGUUCGGGAGAGGGACGCGGAAUUCCGGGUGUAGCGGUGAAAUGCGUAGGUAUCCGGAGGAACACCGGAGGCGAAGGCGGCGUCCUGGACCGACACUGACACUGAGGCGCGGAAGCUAGGGGAG
rnacentral:rRNA from 1 species